AGGAGGAACAGCCCCAGUGGCGGGGCCAGCUCUGGAAACCUGGAUUCAGCCCCUGCAGGAACUAGGGAGCUCUCCGUCUGCAGGGCCUGGAGGCUCCGGGGCAGG
rfam:Canis lupus familiaris chromosome 16, whole genome shotgun sequence.